rnacentral:lncRNA from 1 species
UUACAAGUCUGAACCACACGUAGACUAUCAUAGCAAGAUGGCUACAGAAGUUCUGGAAAUAUACCAGACGUGGCAAUGCUGCAGAGGAAGGAGGGAGAAUAUGCCUUUCUGCAGAUCUUUCUUGGAGGAGAGAUAAGGAGUUCAUAUGCUGGAAUGAUAGUGACACAGGAGUUUAACACUCCUACAGUAUCCAGAGCCUGGAUCCCUGAGUCAUCAGAUGGAGAAGAACUACUCAGGAGAGUCAUCCAACCUUCAUAGACAGUGGCAUGAGUGGGAAUUAAA